GACGAACGCUGGCGGCGUGCUUAACACAUGCAAGUCGAACGGAAAGGCCCUCCUUGCAUGGUCCUCGAGUGGCGAACGCGUGAGUAAGACUUAGGUGAUCUGCCCUUCACUUCGUGAUAAGCCUGGGAAACUGGGUCUACUACCGGAUAUGACCUUCCAUGUAGCUUGGGGUGUGGAAAGAUUUAUCGGUUUGGUAUGAGCCCGCGGCCUAUCAGCUUGUUGUUGGGGUAAUGGCCUACCAAGGCGUCGCCGGGUAGUCGGCCUGAGGGGGUGGACGGCGACAUUGGGACUGAGAUACGGCCCAGACUACUACGGGAGGCAGCAGUGGGGAAUAUUGCAGAAUGGGCGGAAGCCUGAUGCAGCGACGCCGCGUGGGGGAUGACGGCCUUCGGGUUGUAAACCUCUUACGACAGGGACGAAGCUUCGGUGACGGUACUUGUAUAAGAAGCACCGGCUAACUACGUG
rnacentral:rRNA from 1 species